rnacentral:rRNA from 1 species
GUAGUCUGCGACUCGACUACAUGAAGCUGGAAUCGCUAGUAAUCGCAGAUCAGAAUGCUGCGGUGAAUACGUUCCCGGGUCUUGUACACACCGCCCGUCACACCAUGGGAGUCGGAAAUGCCCGAAGCCGGUGACCAAACCAAUAAGGAAGGAGCCGUCGAAGGCAGGUCUGAUAACUGGGGUGAAGUCGUAACAAGGUAGC